UAUUGGUUGUCCUGGAACUUGCUUUGUAAACCAGGCUGGUCCAGAAUGCAGAGAUCUGCCUGCCUCCACUUCCCAGAGUACCGGGAUUAAAGAUGUGUGCCACCAUGUCUGUCUCCCUGGCUUUUUGAAAUAUAUGGGAUUUAGGGCCUGAACUUUAGUCCUGGUGCUUCAAGGGAAAUAGUUGACCAACUGAGCUAUCUUGAAUGCAACCUCUAUUUUCUCCAUUCCUAAUAGCGAAUUUUAGUUGUUUUGACUUGUUUUCUAGAAAAAAAAUCCCAUUUCUUGGGUUCAUACACAUAAAACUUGAACUUGUAUUAGUUCUAACGAUCCACCUCAACCUCCCCAAGUAUAUAUGACUAAAACUAUACCCCACCUAACUUAUUUUUUCAUCUUAAAUACUUUUUAAGAAAGGCUAUGUAAGAUAAAAUUACCACAUUUUAGUGGUAAUUUUUUUUUUUCAAAACCCAACCCAAGGUGACUGAAUCUACUUUACACUGAUAAUGACCACUGCAUAACUGAAUGUUUUCUUGGCCUUUGCACUAGAGAUCUAACAGUAAACUGCUUUUCUGUCUUAAGAUGCUAGGGGUUGAACCUGGGGCUUUAACAUAUACUACAUAAAUGGUCUUCCACUGAAUACACUGUAGUUACACCGUUCCAAGGAUAUUUACUACCAGACAAUUGUACCUGGUUGUUUAUUCCCCCAAACCCCCCCCCAAGAUUUAUCGUAAACAAUAGCACAAGUGAAACACUAUACUUUUAUAAACACUGCCAACUGGACUGGUAAAGUGCUUACCUAGUAUGUACAGUCUGCUGGGCUUGGUCCCCAGCCUCCCAUAAACCGGGUGGAGGAUGCUGACCUGUAAUCCCAGCAUGAGAGGAGAUGGCAGGAUAAGCAAGUUUAGUCGUUUUCUGUGAUAAAGUGCAUUUGAGACCAGCCUGGGCUACAUAGUACUGUCUCAAUAAAGCAAUUGGCAGACAGACUUAAUUUUAGAGUCUCUUCUGUUUCUUUACCAUGGAAAAUACUUAGAAAUCCCACUGCUAAGGCAGUAAUUAGGAUACUUUUGGUGUUCACAACUGGCACAAAAAAGCAGCAUUGUUUUAGAAAUGUUGCGUAAGCCAUAAGGGGUUUCUAAGAGAUUAAAAGAUGACUGAGUAGUGGCUGGUUUGUAAGGAACAGACAAGCGUCUCACACUUGGAUCAAACAAACCUGACUGCUUCUGGAGGAGCAAGUAACAGGCAGAACCAAAGGGAACUCUGCUCCUCCUGCCACUUGUGACUGACGAGAACCUGGACAGUUACCACCUAUUAAAGACUAGCCUAGCUACAGAGUUCAGGAUUUAACUCCUGAUUUCCAGGAUAUAGGAGUGAGUCACAUCUUUUCUCCGCCCAAAUCCUUGUUCUUGGGUCAGAAAUCAACUGUGUCUUAGGCUGGGCAUGGUGGUGCAGGGCCCUAACCCCAGCACUGGGAGGCAGAGGCAGGCAGAUCCUGAGGCUAGCCUGGUCUACAGAGUGAGUUCCUAGAGCACCAGAGAACAGACUACAGAGAGACCUUGUCUCAAACAAAACAAAAACCUGCUUAAAGUAAAUACAGGUUUAGAAGAAAGUGAGGUGACAAGCACUCAGUCCCACCAAGAAAGGGGACGUCAACCAGCAAAGUGGCAUGACUUUGGGCCCCAAGCUGGAAAAGCCAACCUUUCUAAUGAGUUUAACCACAAUUCAUUUAGUUAUGUUCUUGGGCAUUCCAGUGUGUUCAUCAAAUGAACUGUUAAGUGAACAGUAGAAGCUAGCUUCCGGUGUUUACUGUGGGAACUAAAUGACUAAGGUCCAAGAUUUGGUUUUGUUAGCCAUUGUAAGUUGUCAACUGUACUUGGCCACACGAGAGCAACCUUUGGGUAAGCUGAGAAGCAACUGCAAAACCUCACAGAAGUGAAACCUUGUCUUUAUUGAACACUAUGGCUAGACAAGUAUUUAAAAUGUCCCAUCUGCAGUUUUGUUUCAGAACCACUUUCAUCUAUACCUACACACGUGUAUUUGACAAGGAACAAGGUUACUAUGUUUCUUGUUUGUUAAAACUACUAAAUUGUCUGUUAUGCUCUCCCUCUCCACCCAAGUAAAAAUUUGCAACUCAAAAACCCUAGAUAUAAUGCUGGGCGUUGGUGGCACAAGCCUUUGAUCUCAGCACUAGGGAGGUAAAGGCAGGUGGAUCUCUGUGAGUUCCAGGACAGGCUCCAAAGCAAUACAAAGAAACACUGUCUCGAAAAAAACCAACCAACCAACCAACCAAAAUCCCUAGUUUUAAUGUUUAAACUUACUGUUAUGGAGCUGACAGCUCCAUAGUACAAAUAAUACAAUUGGGCAGACACUUGCUGAACCUCUGUAAGGAUUUUAAACAAAUACAAAACCUUGUUGGUUUAAAUAUCUUUUUAAUAUUUCAGUUAUCAUCCACACUAGGCAAAAAGCCAAAUCAAACUCUGAAUAAAUCUUUGGCUGAUUUACAACA